ACCGUUAAGCAGUGGCAAUAUCGUAACCAAUGAAGGUCUCCUGAGGUACGAUUAUUGGCUAGUUGAAAACUUUUACACG
rnacentral:snRNA from 1 species